rnacentral:rRNA from 1 species
AUUGAACGCUGGCGGCAGGCCUAACACAUGCAAGUCGAACGAGUGGCGGACGGGUGAGUAAUGUUUGUUAAACUUCCCGAUGGAGGGGGAUAACUACUGGAAACGGUAGCUAAUACCGCAUACCAUCGGAUGUGCACAGAUGGGAUUAGCUUGUAGGUGAGGUAACGGCUCACCUAGGCGACGAUCCCUAUCUGGUCUGAGAGGAGGACCAGACACACUGGAACUGAGACACGGUCCAGACUCCUACGGGAGGCAGCAGUGGGGAAUAUUGCACAAUGGGCGCAAGGCUGAUGCAGGCAUGCCGCGUGUAUGAAGAAGGCCUUAGGGUUGUAAAGUGCUUUCAGCGGGGAGGCGUUACCCGCAGAAGAAGCACCGGCUAACUCCGUGCCAGCAGCGGCGGUAAUUC